ACCUGUUCCCAUACCGAACACAGAAGUUAAGCUCAAUAGCGCCGAAAGUAGUUGGAGGAUCGCUUCCUGCGAGGAUAGGACGUCGCGAUGC
rnacentral:rRNA from 1 species